AUAACGACUCUCGGCAACGGAUAUCUCGGCUCUCGCAUCGAUGAAGAACGUAGCGAAAUGCGAUACUUGGUGUGAAUUGCAGAAUCCNGUGAACCAUCGAGUCUUUGAACGCAAGUUGCGCCCUAAGCCAUUUGGCCGAGGGCACGUCUGCCUGGGCGUCAAUCA
rnacentral:rRNA from 1 species